AUUGAACGCUGGCGGCAGGCUUAACACAUGCAAGUCGAGCGGGGUGAUGGUGCUUGCACUAUCACUUAGCGGCGGACGGGUGAGUAAUGCUUAGGAAUCUGCCUAUUAGUGGGAGACAACAUCUCGAAAGGGAUGCUAAUACCGCAUACGUCCUACGGGAGAAAGCAGGGGAUCACUUGUGACCUUGCGCUAAUAGAUGAGCCUAAGUCGGAUUAGCUAGUUGGUGGGGUAAAGGCCUACCAAGGCGACGAUCUGUAGCGGGUCUGAGAGGAUAAGCCGCCACACUGGGACUGGGACACGGCCCAGACUCCUACGGGAGGCAGCAGUGGGGAAUAUUGGACAAUGGGAGGAACCCUGAUCCAGCCAUGCCGCGUGUGUGAAGAAGGCCUUAUGGUUGUAAAGCACUUUAAGCGAGGAGGAGGCUCUUUUGGUUAAUACCCAAGAUGAGUGGACGUUACUCGCAGAAUAAGCACCGGCUAACUCUGUGCCAGCAGCCGCUGUAA
rnacentral:rRNA from 1 species